UGGGAAAUUCGAAUAAUAUAU
rnacentral:piRNA from 1 species